rnacentral:misc_RNA from 1 species
GCCUAAGCAUCUUUGAAUUGAGUGUUCUUUGCUCAUCAACACUUUGUAGUAGAAAUCAAGCAUGAUGACAAACACAUAAAUCUCCAAUUUUGUUUAAACUAAAACUAUUAGGAAUUCCCUAGAAGUCACUAGUGAUUAAUAUGAUACUUUUAGUGACAGAAAGUCACUUUCAAAGUCAUUCUGAUGAGAAACACUCUUUACCAACAGGUAAUGAAAAAGACGCUAAAAUAAAAUAAAAUAAAAUAAA